UACGGAGGAUGCGAGCGUUAUCCGGAUUUAUUGGGUUUAAAGGGUGCGCAGGCGGAUUUUUAAGUCAGCGGUCAAAUCGUGGGGCUCAACCCCAUCCAGCCGUUGAAACUGGGGAUCUAGAGUGUGCGAGAGGUAUGCGGAAUGCGUGGUGUAGCGGUGAAAUGCAUAGAUAUCACGCAGAACCCCGAUUGCGAGGGCAGCAUACCGGUGCACAACUGACGCUCAGGCACGAAAGCGUGGGUAUCGAACAGG
rnacentral:rRNA from 1 species